GCAAGUCGAGCGAGAAGAUUAUGAAUGAUCCUUCGGGUGAGUGAUUAAUUGGAAAGCGGCGGACGGGUGAGUAACGCGUGGGUAACCUACCUUCUACAGAGGAAUAGCCAUUGGAACGUUGAUUAAUGCCCCAUAAGACUACACUACCGCAUGGUAGAGUAGUAAAAACUCCGGUGGUAGAAGAUGGACCCGCGUUAGAUUAGCUAGUUGGUGAGGUAAUGGCUCACCAAGGCUACGAUCUAUAGCCGACCUGAGAGGAUGAUC
rnacentral:rRNA from 1 species